GCCUUUGAGGGGUGGAAAGACAGAGUCAAAGUCUCCCUUGACCUCCAGGAGAGUGAAGCUCCAGAUGAUUUGGCUGCUGAAAAUGCAAAUGAAUAUUCAUAUACUGCUGAAUUUGAAAAGGGAACAGCGCAAGCACUUGGGCCAGCAACAGCUGAUCAAGUAGACAAAAAUGUACAUGGGAACGAUCUUGAAAGAGAAACUGCAACUAUGGAGAGAAAAGAUGACAUUUCUGAAAUGGAGAUUGAGAGGCAUCUGUCUGAAGCACACACUAUCAGUAAUUCUGCUUUAAGUUUCAGCAAUGACAAGGGCAAGGGAUCAGAGAUGAUGAACACUGAGGAGCAACUGGAAUCACCAUCUGAAGUUGAUACUAGAGAUGGUACCACUGUCCCUAGUUUGUCCCAGAGUAUGGUGUCUGUGAACAGGUCCUUUUUGUCUGAGGACAUAAAUCGGCUUAGCGAGCUCUCGGUAGAUGAUGACAACCUGGGC
rnacentral:misc_RNA from 1 species